CAUCGGAUGGGGCCACAGUGUCUCCUGACCCCUCCUGUCUCAGCCUCCAGUAUUUAUGCUGCAGACCUGAGCCCUAGGACCAUGCCUCAGGACUACCUGGCAUGAUGACACCUUGCUGUCCCCAGUCCACCUGGCCGUGCUGCUGCUCCAGUUUCAACUGUUCUGCCUGCGGCUAUGGAACCCUGACCUGUUCACCGGACAUGCUACCUGUCCCAGACCUGCUGUUUUCAACUCUCUAGAGACAGCAGGAGCGGUAGAGAUACUCUUAAUGGUCGGCUAUGAAAAAUUAACUGACAUUUACUCCUGAUGUGCUGACUUGCUGCACCCUCGACAAUUAAUGUGAUUAUUAUUAUUUGACCAAAAUGGUCAUUUAUGAACAUUUGAACAUCUUGGCCAUGUUCUGUUAUAAUCUCCACCCGGCACAGCCAGAAGAGGACUGGCCACACCUCAUAGCCUGGUUCCUCUCUAGGUUUCUUCCUAGGUUUUGGCCUUUCUAGGGAGUUUUUCCUAGCCACCGUGCUUCUAAACCUGCAUUGCUUGCUGUUUGGGGUUUUAGGCUGGGUUUCUGUACAGCACUUUGAGAUAUCAGCUGAUGUAAGAAGGGCUAUAUAAAUACAUUUGAUUUGAUUUGAUUUGCCAGUGAGCAAUCAUUUUAGGCAGGUAGCCUAGGACAAUAAAAAAUUUAAAUGUG